CUCAAAUAUCAAUUCAAACCCAAAUCCAAACCUGAUCAUAAUUUCAAAAACCCAUUCCAAUAUCUCUCUCUACUCUCUCUCUUCGAUGAAGAAUACAAAGCAUCCAGUCUCUAAAUUCAUACUAUCCAGACCUCUCUCAAUUCGCAGGUAGAGCAUCCACUUCAACAAACAUAGAAGUGAAGGUUAUGUCCGAUUUGAGGGAGAUGGCAGAAUCAGUAUCUUCAAACCCUAAUUCUGAGAUUCCAGAACGUCGUUGGGUUCCGCCGCGUCCUUGAUUUUGAAGGUCUAUAGGUUUGAAGACCAUGUGUUCGAUGAAUUGCGUAAAUGAGAAUUGAUCAAAGAAAAUCGAAUGAAGCUGAGGUCGAGCCCCUACGAGAAGAGUGUCACCAAAGGGUUUCAACUCUUGAAAGAAAGCUUUAUGCCCUCACGAUGGAAAGAGACAUGCUACGCAGAGAGCAAAAUAAAAAAGCGAUGCCGCUGCUCUUUUGAAGGAAAAAGAUGAAAUCAUCACUCAAGUUAUGGCAGAAGGCGAAGAGCUUUCAAAGAAACAAGCUACUCAAGAAUCGACAAUCAGGAAACUACGUGCACAGAUCAGAGAGCUUGAAGAAGAGAAGAAAGACUGAUAACAAAGCUACAGGUUGAAGAGAGCAAGGUAGAGAGUAUAAAGAGGGACAUAGCUGCUACAAAGAAGCUACUCCAAGAAACAAUAGAGAAAAACCAAGCUGAGGCAGAUUGAGGCUAUUCAGGUUUUUAUUAUACUUUUAUGAGUAAAAUGCCAUUUUCGUCCCUGACGAAGAAGAAGAAUCUAAGAGGAAAAGAAAGUGAAGCCCGUUAAAAGACCCGCUGAAUCUACACCCAAGUCGCCUGCUUCUACUAAGAAAGGAAAACCCAACACUCCACAAAAUGCUAAAUCUAACACUCCUCAAACAUCAGGUGGAAAGAAAAGUGGUCAAGCAGUAACGCCACAAGCCAAUUCAAAAGUAAGAGUUCACAAAUUUGAUAUGGAUAACGCGGAGUCCGAUCUUUUCGACGACAUCGAUAAUUAUUUCCAAGAUUCAGAUAUUCAAGUACUUCACAAGUUGAAGGUUUUUCAUUACAACCAUGUUGAUCAAACGAGAAAUGGUGAGUUUUCUAAAGAUCCUUGCUUGAUCUUCAUGUAUUUCAUGGUUGUUGUUAUGUUUAUCGAUUGAUCCAGUUAUCAAUAAUCAUCACUUGUGAUUUUGACUUUUUAUAGCUCUAUUUGAAUGACCCAAAGUCAGAUCUGAGUAUAUCAUAAGCUGGAUCUGAAGUAUCUUCAGCUUCUUUUCUUCACAAAAUGUUUCCAAACCAUAGACAUGUUAGUUGGAUCUUAUUACAGAGAAGUUGGUUGCUUGAUCUGUGCUUUCAGUACUAAUUUUAAUGAAUUGAUAUUCCUUCACUAUUUGUAUGUUAAAUACUCCAGUAGUUGAUGGCUGUAUGUUAAAUACUCUCUCUCUCUUCGAUGAAGAAUACAAAGCAUCCAGUCUCUAAAUUCAUACUAUUCAGACCUCUCUCAAUUCGCAGGUAGAGCAUCCACUUCAACAAACACAGGUUGAUGGAUAAGGAUAAAGCAGCAGCAGCAGCAGCAGUUGCUUCUUCUUCUUCGUCACAUGAACUUGCUCAACGUCAAAGAACGAAUCAACGAAAUAGGGCUCGAGGCGAAAGUGCACUUUCCUCUCCAAUUUAAAAGGGAUGAAACACUGAUUAGAUGAAACACUGAUUCAACACUGAAGUUGAUUUAUAUACUCUGGAACAUGAAAGAAGAAGAUGAUGAAGAUUCAAUAUCUCGAUCCACUUCAAUAAAAGAAGGUGUUGAUCCGCAAGGUUUGUGUAAAACAAAGGGAGUUGAACUUGGCAUUUUCGUUAUUUGCAGAGAUGAAGAGAUAUCAAAUACAACCAAAUAUGGUCGCCGAAGUCUCCUACGGUGUUAGUGUCAUCUCGGUUGCCGGAACCAUGAAGGGAUGAACAAUUCCUCAAUUCGUUUGAAGGUUCUUACGAACUUGAAGGCUUAUUGUUGCUUAUAUGCUUUCAUGUGUGUUUACUUAAUUGGAAGUAGAUAUUAAGAGCAUUAAUUUUCUUCCUGUUGUAAAUAAAUGUUAGGAAUUGUUGAAGCUUUAUGUACUUCAUCAAUGUAGUCUCAACUAUUUUGUUAUAUGAA